UGAGUACGAGAUGCUACGGCAUCGAAGCAGUCUAUGUCAUACUUCCAAGAAGAGCUUGCACUGUCAGAAACAGAUAAUGCCUGUACCAUAACCGACACAGGUGGGUAGGUAGAGUAUACUAAGGGGCGCGAGAUAACUCUCUCUAAGGAACUCGGCAAAAUGACUCCGUAACUUCGGGAGAAGGAGUGCCUUAUUUUUAAGGUUGCAGUAACAAGAUCCAAGCAACUGUUUACCAAAAACACAGGUCUCCGCUAAGUCGUAAGACGAUGUAUGGGGGCUGACGCCUGCCCAGUGCCAGAAGGUUAAAGAAGUCGGUUAGCAUUCGCGAAGCUGGUAACUGAAGCCCUGGUGAACGGCGGCCGUAACAAUAACGGUCCUAAGGUAGCGAAAUUCCUUGUCGGGUAAGUUCCGACCCGCACGAAAGGCGUAAUGAUUUGGAUACUGUCUCGGAGAGGGGCUCGGUGAAAUAGACUUGUCUGUGAAGAUGCGGACUACCUGCACCUGGACAGAAAGACCCUAUGAAGCUUUACUGUAACUUGAAAUUGAAAUUGGACUUUAUUUGCGCAGUAUAGGUGGGAGGCGUUGAAAAUAUUCUUGCGGGAAUAUUGGAGCCAUCAGUGAGAUACCACUCUUGUAAUGUUAGAUUUCUAACUUUAUAUCAUUAUCUGGUUAAAGAACAGUUUCAGGCGGGCAGUUUGACUGGGGCGGUCGCCUCCCAAAUGGUAACGGAGGCGCACAAAGGUUUCCUCUGAACGGGUAGAAAUCGUAUCUAGAGUGUAAAGGCAUAAGGAAGCUUGACUGUGAGACCUACAAGUCGAGCAGGGACGAAAGUCGGUCUUAGUGAUCUGACGGUGCUGAGUGGAAAGGCCGUCACUCAACGGAUAAAAGUUACUCUAGGAUAACAGGCUGAUCUCCCCCAAGAGUUCACAUCGACGGGGAGGUUUGGCACCUCGAUGUCGGCUCAUCGCAUCCUGGGGCGGUAGUACGUCCCAAGGGUUGGGCUGUUCGCCCAUGAAAGCGGUACGCGAGCUGGGUUCAGAACGUCGUGAGACAGUUCGGUCCAUAUCCGGUGUAGGCGUUAGAAUAUUGAGAGGAGCCUUCUUUAGUACGAGAGGACCGAGAAGGACAUACCUCUGGUGUACCAGUUAUCGUGCCAACGGUAAACGCUGGGUAGCUAUGUAUGGAGUGGAUAACCGCUGAAAGCAUCUAAGUGGGAAGCCCACCUCAAGAUAAGUAUUCUCAUAGAAAAU
rnacentral:rRNA from 1 species